UACGAAGGGUGCAAGCGUUACUCGGAAUUACUGGGCGUAAAGCGUGCGUAGGUGGUUUGUUAAGUCUGUUGUGAAGCCCCGGGCUCAACCUGGGAAUGGCAAUGGAUACUGGCAGGCUAGAGUGCGGUAGAGGGUAGUGGAAUUCCCGGUGUAGCGGUGAAAUGCGUAGAGAUCGGGAGGAACACCAGUGGCGAAGGCGGCUACCUGGACCAGCACUGACACUGAGGCACGAAAGCGUGGGGAGCAAACAGG
rnacentral:rRNA from 1 species